CAAAGUAAUGGAGCUGAGACCAUCCUGGAGCGGAGGCUACCACGGGCUGGUGUGGAUCCAGCCCCAGGGGGCUUGGGACUCCUGCAGCAUCUCAGCAGGAGCCCCGGGGUGGGCGGGCCUCUUUUAAGGUCUCUGGAGUGUUCUAUGGAGAAUGAGGCCUUGGAUUUGGUCUAGGAGGCUGGGAAAGGAGGUCUCGCUCCGAAUAUCGAGGAGGAGAAGGAUGACGAAGAGCAGGCCGUCUGUGUUUACCGUACUGCAGAGCCUGAGCUAAGUACCGUAUUUGUUAACGUGUGAGCGAUACCUCCACUCCCUAACACUAACAAAAAUUUGGUCUUUGCCGGUGAGCUUCUCUUCUCUCCUACCCUCUCAGGUCCUCCUGGCUACUGAGCUUCUGCAAAGUUUAAUUUUCAGACCCAUCCUGGGACCCUAUCAUUUAUCCAUAAAAGGCAUGGAAUCCUGACACGUGCUACGACAUGGAUUCCAAGUGAAAAAACAUCAUGCUAAGUGAAAGAAGCCAGAUGCAAAAGGACAAAUACUAUAGGAUUCUACUUACCUGAAAUACGUAGAACAGACACAUUUAUAGACACAGCUUAGACAACAGCCUCCGAGAGCCAACCAGAUUUUCUCCAAGACGAAGACCCACCCUGGCCAGCAUUCUACCACAGGAAUGAUUAAUCUGGGCUUUGGGGUCCACCAACCCCUCUUUGCUGUCUCCCUCUGGUGCUUCCCAUCCAAGAGCUAACAGGGAGCCCGCAGGGAAGCCCGCAACGUGGUUUGCAGAGUCUGAACUGCACAAGGCUGAGCCUGGAAGGGCAGGUUUGGAUCUGAGAGACGGCAAAAGACCCUGUGGGCAAGGCAUCCCUUGAUAGGAAACUAAACUACCCCCUCCAGCAGUUAAGUACCGCACUGAACCAGCAAGACCCUGCAUGACUGACCCCAAGACAAUGGCCGACCUGACCUUUACUGCCCGCCUGCACAUUCCCACCGACCUUUGCCCCACAUUUUCCUCAUAUAAACCUGGAAGUGUUUUCGGCACUUUGGAGACAGUCUUUGAGACUCUAGUCCACAGUCUUCCCGGUGCUGGCCUUGCUGAAAUAAAUUCCUUUCUUGUUUCACCACU